GUUGAAUUACAAGACUACAUGGCUUCUAAGCCAUUUCAAUAGUUAUGUAAUUGUAUAUUGGUUUGGUAUAUUAGAUGUAUAUAGAGUGUAUAAUAUAAUGGGCAGUGAUGAUAACACUUUGGGCUCAUGUGUUGGGCCUCCAAUACUCAUGAGCUUAUUGGGUCAUAUCUGAGCCCGGGUCAUUUGACCCAGUACUCGACCCGGUCCGGAUUGGUUGAUAUUUUGUUAUAUUUGUAUAGGGGUAGGUGGAAACUUCUACACUCUGAUCUUUUCUCUCUUUUCCCAAUAACCGACUCUUCGGUUCUCUCAAAAACUCUCUCCCUUCUCUCUACUUUCUCUCUCUAAUUUCUCUGUGAUUUCAUCGAUUAAUUUCAAUAUUUACAUGGUAUCAGAGCCUUACAAUGAUCCGAUCAUGUUUGUUCGCAUAUCGGUAUCACUUUUGAACGUUUGUUUGAUGAUUUUUGAC
rnacentral:lncRNA from 1 species